CCAACGGCCCUCUUUAGGGCCACUAAUAAAUAAUUAAAGGAAGAAU
rfam:Strongyloides stercoralis strain PV0001 genome assembly, scaffold: SSTP_scaffold0000011